UUGACCUCAAAUCAAGCAAGAUUACCCGCUGAACUUAAGCAUAUCAAUAAGCGGAGGAAAAGAAACUAACAAGGAUUCCCCUAGUAACUGCGAGUGAAGCGGGAAAAGCUCAAAUUUAAAAUCUGGCAGUGGUUCACUGCCCGAGUUGUAAUCUAGAGAAGUGUUGCUCACACUGGACCAUGUAUAAGUCUUCUGGAAUGAAGCGUCAUAGAGGGUGAGAAUCCCGUCUUUGACAUGGACUCCCAGUGUAUUUGUAGUAUGCUCUCAAAGAGU
rnacentral:rRNA from 1 species